rnacentral:RNase_P_RNA from 2 species
GUCGGGGGAAGCUCAUCAGCGGGGGGCCAUAUGCUGAGUGCUCCUCACUCCCCCAAGCCCCUGGAAAGAUCUGAGACUGGGGCCUCCAGCAGCACUAACUGGGCCCUCAUGGAGCAGGGAGGUGAGUUUCCAGAGAGCAGGGCUCCACGUGUGGGUAGACUUUCAAGCUUGUGGGAGCUUGAAACAGACUCACUGCAGGGCGGGGGGAGAAGGUGGGGUGCAGGCAGUAUUAGCAUACAAGAGAAGCUCGGUGGCUCUUACAGAGGAGGGAGGAUAUGGCAAGGGCCAUUUCCCUCAGUAACUCUCUUGCUAU